GCCCCUCCCUUGAGUGAGGAUACAUCCAAAACAAUCAAGCUUUUUGAUGCUUUCUCUAGUUCUGGAGUUCCACAAUUUAUGAUGAUCUUAUUAUCAGUCUUGGAUACUGAAUGGUCCCAAGGCAGAUUAAUCCCUUCAGAUGAUGAUUUCUGGGUGGCUACUGUAUUUCCAUCAAGCCCCAAGAGUUUCUUGAGGUUCUCAUAGCACUCUUCAAGUUUAUCGUUAUACAAAAUGUGAUCAAAGAUGCCUGAUGAAUUUCCUUGUUCCACCUCUGCCUCUGAAUUUCGAAGUCGCUUAAGGAUCUGCUCCUCCAACUCAGUCCCCCUUGCACGAAGUCUCUUCU
rnacentral:misc_RNA from 1 species